GUAAUGGCUCACCAAGGCGUCGACGGGUAGCCGGCCUGAGAGGGUGACCGGCCACACUGGGACUGAGACACGGCCCAGACUCCUACGGGAGGCAGCAGUGGGGAAUAUUGCACAAUGGGCGCAAGCCUGAUGCAGCAACGCCGCGUGAGGGAUGACGGCCUUCGGGUUGUAAACCUCUUUUAGCAGGGAAGAAGCGAAAGUGACGGUACCUGCAGAAAAAGCGCCGGCUAACUACGUGCCAGCAGCCGCGGUAAUACGUAGGGCGCAAGCGUUAUCCGGAAUUAUUGGGCGUAAAGAGCUCGUAGGCGGUUUGUCGCGUCUGCUGUGAAAUCCGGAGGCUCAACCUCCGGCCUGCAGUGGGUACGGGCAGACUAGAGUGCGGUAGGGGAGAUUGGAAUUCCUGGUGUAGCGGUGGAAUGCGCAGAUAUCAGGAGGAACACCGAUGGCGAAGGCAGAUCUCUGGGCCGUAACUGACGCUGAGGAGCGAAAGGGUGGGGAGCAAACAGGCUUAGAUACCCUGGUAGUCCACCCCGUAAACGUUGGGAACUAGUUGUGGGGUCCAUUCCACGGAUUCCGUGACGCAGCUAACGCAUUAAGUUCCCCGCCUGGGGAGUACGGCCGCAAGGCUAAAACUCAAAGGAAUUGACGGGGACCCGCACAAGCGGCGGAGCAUGCGGAUUAAUUCGAUGCAACGCGAAGAACCUUACCAAGGCUUGACAUAUACGAGAACGGGCCAGAAAUGGUCAACUCUUUGGACACUCGUAAACAGGUGGUGCAUGGUUGUCGUCAGCUCGUGUCGUGAGAUGUUGGGUUAAGUCCCGCAACGAGCGCAACCCUCGUUCUAUGUUGCCAGCACGUAAUGGUGGGAACUCAUGGGAUACUGCCGGGGUCAACUCGGAGGAAGGUGGGGAUGACGUCAAAUCAUCAUGCCCCUUAUGUCUUGGGCUUCACGCAUGCUACAAUGGCCGGUACAAAGGGCUGCAAUACCGCGAGGUGGAGCGAAUCCCAAAAAGCCGGUCCCAGUUCGGAUUGAGGUCUGCAACUCGACCUCAUGAAGUCGGAGUCGCUAGUAAUCGCAGAUCAGCAACGCUGCGGUGAAUACGUUCCCGGGUCUUGUACACACCGCCCGUCAAGUCAUGAAAGUCGGUAACACCUGAAGCCGGUGGCCUAACCCUUGUGGAGGGAGCCGUCGAAGG
rnacentral:rRNA from 1 species